GUCUUUUUCUUUCCCGGUGCAUAACUGGACAAAAUUGAAUGUCACCAUGGCCUUACUUGGAAGAUCAUAUGUGAGGAUGAUGGUCAUUUAACAGGUGGCAGCAAUGUGGGUAGAGGAAGACUCAACUCCUUCCUACAACACAGGGCAGAAAUUAAUACUUAUAAAGGUAAACUUGACUUAAAAAAGAAAAUAUUAUGGUGAAUCUACUCUGAUUAUGAAGAAUGGAGAAAUGUGGUAUAUGUUUCAGACCAGAUAGAUUUCUAUCAGAAGUAUUUUUAAAAAUAUUUACGUUAGGGUGCUUAAAUAUAUAACCUUCUAUGAUCUAGAACACUGACAAAUAUGUAUAACCCUUCUCCAGCAAUCCUGAAUAGUGUAUAUAGUACACAACUGCCCCAUUUUAGUAUUGCAUUGCAAAAGAACAAACACAACAUUUUUAAAUACUUUUAGUUCACAUUUUUUAAUGUUUAAAAACUAUGUUAACAGAGCAGUUAUAGAACAGAACUUCUUAUAUUUCUUUAUUUACACCACACUCUGAAAAAAAAAACCCAGUUCUAUUUGAUUAACUAUGAAUAGCAAAGUUUUGUGACUUGUGACUCACUUAAAUCACCCAUCUGAAAUUCAUUUACAAGGUUUUUACAUUAAUAAAACAGUAGUGUGGUACAUGUAUUGGACUCAGAUGAAGUCUAAAGUACACUGGACUCUAGAGAGUGGAUUACAUACCAACGACCAAGAUUCAAGUGUUUGGGGAAAAAAAUACCUUAGACAGUCUAUGUUGGCGUCAACACUAAAAUAAAAGGCAAACAUGCAGGACUUUCAAAGCUUGAUUAGAUAAUGGUUCUUUGUUUUCUUUCCUUCAAAUUUGUGCUCAUAAUUAAUAUUCAGGUUCCCUCUCCCCGCUUUCAUAGAUCCCAAAGUUUGAGAAAUGCAGCAAUUCAAUUGUGAAAAAAACAUUCUUCUCCCCAGCUUCUGUUUUCAUAUGUACUGUGUAGUGGUAUCAGUGUUAAAAAUGGAAGAUCAUUAUGAAGAAACAAUUUGUCAUUUGGGUAUAUCUGUUUCUAUAGGACAAGGAUUUGUGUCUAAAUAUUCCUUACUUGUAUCUCAGAGGACUAUCUGUUAAAUAAUUGAUCUUAAUGCCAGCAUAAGAAAUCAAGGGAACUAUUUCUCAGACAUUUCUUUCUCUAAAUUAAGUAGGGUUUCAGGUUCCAAGUUUACAUUGAGAGAACUAUGUUACCUGGGAGAGAAUGUAAAUUUUUCUAAUUCCCAAACAAAACCACUAAUUUCUAGGAAACAUUUAUUGUUUAUAUGCAGAUCCUAGAGACUUCUAUUUCAGUGCAGAUCAACAACUUCAAAAAUAUACAGCCUCCUAUUUAUUUACAAUAAUAUUUACAUACAAAUGAAGUAUUUCCUGCAAUAAGCCUCAGCUGCAUAGAUUCUUCCUUUAAAAACGUAAAUUUGAGCCUGUAUACAGAUGGGCCCAGUUUCAUAGCCCUUCCUUAGAUAAAAGCCUAAAGAAGGAAAAUGUCUGCACCUUGUGAACUUUACAUAUUUUGCAAGAACUUUCUCUUUGAGAUUUAGUGAUAGUUUUUAGUUGUUAGACACCCCACCUUCAGCUUGUACCUGAAAGCUUUAUCUCGUUAUAAAUAAUUCACUGUAAUUUAGGGGAAGUAUGUCCUGUUGCUAAAGGAUUCUCAAACCUGCCAUCCCCAAGGAAAAUCAUGUAUUAGUAUUGCUAAAUGAUGGUCUGUAUAUUCUUUGUUUUGAAGGUGGCUAGAUGUUUGCUGUAAACUUGAAUGGGAGAAUUAUAUUCUUAAAGUUUACACCCCCUAUAAGCCUAAAGCCAUUUAAAUUGAUAAACUGAGAGAGACUAAUAGAUUUUGCUCUAAGGUAUAAAAUCCAUUAUCUGAUCAUAUUCCUGACCUCCCCCCGACUCCAACUAAAUGUGCCAUAGUCCAACACUGUGCCUCACUGAAUUGGAACUCAGUAUUUCAUUCUUUUGAGAGCAGUUUGUAGCUCCUUAAGCAGAGCAGACCUUUCAGUAGAGAAUUCGCUUUAAAAGGAGGACAGGAUUAUCACCACACGAUUAACACAAACACUGGAGAACUUCUGACACAAAUUCAGUAUUUCUUCUAAGUCUGCAUUUACAAAGGGUCUUUUAUUUUAAUUUCUUUCACAACUGCCUCGCCCCAACCAAAGCCUCACUUUCAUUUCCUCACAGCUUUAAAAAAUAAAAUAUUAUCAUGCCUCAGCCCGAGGUAACACCGAGUGCAGGCAGCCUGUGUUUAGGAAUUUGCACCUGCGCUGCUAUUUUCAACGAGAAGGGGAUAACCAGGUGGCAGCGCUGGAUUCACUCACUUUCUUAAUCUGCAUUCUAAUGAGGUCCCCGAUGAUGCUGAUGCUACUGGUCUAGGGGCCACACUUUGAGAACCACUGGCUUAGAGGCAUGAAUCAAGCUCUAGAAAGCAGUCAGUUCCAGGGUAAUAGUCUUAGGUGCUCGCCGAAGCACUGAGGAAUCUUACCACAACCCUGUGUCCACCACAAGCCCUAUCACCAUCACCCAUCUGGGUGCUUCUUUUUCUCAACAGGGUCUGUAACUGUAAAAAAGGAAAGUGGGUGGAGAGGUUUUUUUUUCCCCCUUUUUUCUUGUUUUCUAACCUCCCAGCUUAUUCCUGGAGAGUUAAAACACAGUUACUAGCACUAAAAACAUUAAAAGUGCUGCGCGCUGGCCUCAAUGACUGGUACAUUGGAGAAGCUAUGCAGCAGCAUCCUUUUCUGUGGUGGGCAGGGCAGGAGAUGAACCAUAGGAGCCAAAAGUCAGACAAACAGAAGAAGGCACACCAAGCCUGAACCCUCCGGACAACAGCAGAGUUACCAGCUGAGGGAUGUCCCUGGAGGUUUCUGACCCAUGAGAGGCCCCCUCACCCUCCUUCACCCUCCUCCUACCACCAAGCUCUCCAGCAGUCAUGGACUUAUUCCUCCCCGUUUUUACUGGACACCAUGUUUCAGGCCAAUCUGGUCACCUGUAGUCUGGUGGCAUCUCUACCCCUACUGUCCAGUAGGUGGGAUGUGGCUGGGAUGGACAGUCCAGAUUCUACUAACAGGCAACUCUGAACAAACACCCUCCCUGGAAACAAUAUUAUAUUUGAUGGUUAGAUUCUUUAGCAAACCUAUUACAUUAUUCGAUGUCAGCUAACCUAUUGGUUUGAUCAUCUUUUCCAGCUGCUCUAGGGGCCUAACCACCAUGGAUAACCUGGUCUCUAAAGGAAAAUACAUUCCAGGUUGCAAACAACCAACUGACAACCUUUUGGAAUAUGAUCUCCUUAUACACUGGGGCUGCCUGUGCCUAAACACAGUAGAUUUCCCUCCUGUGCGUAUUUCAUCAGCCCCACUUCCAAUAAGUAACAUUAAGUAAAUUAGGGAUUGACAGUAUUCUGUGUUACAAUAACUAGAGAACAGUUCUAAGUCCAAAGUGUGGAACUGGCACUGUUCACUAGUAUAGAGAUCCUACCUACCAAAGGAAAACGUGCUGCUCCCCAUGCCUAGGGUAUAGUAUUCUUUAAUCUACUAAUUUAGCAGAAAAACUUCCAUAGCACUUGACUGUGCUGUUUAAAUUCGACCUAACAUCUGUGAUACAUGUAUUUUUGGCUACCAAUUAACUAUUCUGAAUAAGAAUAAGAGCAGUAUACUUUACAGCUAAUCUCACACAAAGGAUGUAACUAAUCAGUGAUAUUUGACGAAUUAUGGUAGGGUCUAUUAUAUUCAGUCAACAACAAAUUUAGAGAAACAUACAAAGGUUUUUAAAAAUAUGGGUGGUGUCACACAGAUCAACAACACUGUGCCUCCUCUAAAUAAAUCUAUUUUAAAUAAAUAUUCCUUGUAUUGACACAUGAAACCCAGAGGCCCAAAAAUAUCACUACACAUCCCAGUUAAUGAUAAGGUUCUAAAUUGACUUUGUGAGGGUAAAAUGAAUUGCUAUAAAGUAACAAGGAAAAUAGAAAGUAGCAUAAUAUAGCUUGCAAACUAAAUUAUGUAUUUUUAAAGGUACAGUCAUCCCACUACCUGGCUAUUUCAUUACUUGGUGCUCUAGACAAGCUCCCAAGAACUGACUGGAUCUUGGCUUGUUCUGUUUCUGUCAUUGCUAAUAUAAUAUGGAAAACAUUGCUGAAAAGAACAGAGAUGGCCAUGGAUAUGGCUAGGUUAGGUAUUCAUAUCCAAAUAUCUGAACUCUAACCUAAUGUGGAUAUGAUUCUGUAGCAUUAUAUUAAAAGCUAUGAUGAUGCAAUGCAGGAAAUAACCUUUCAUUCUCCCCCCUAGAGGAUCACGACAGGUGCUUCAAUGCCUGCCUUAUCUAUGGGACAGUAGUGUGAUUCUCAGUGAGAGUGAAGGCCUUUGGGGAUUUGAGUCAGGAAGGGAACAUGGCUAAGUGCCUGGAAACUCUGCCAACAGUCUGCGGUUAGAUUCUACUUGUCUCUGGAUAAGAAAUCUGUGCUCAGUGAACUUAUGUGUUUGGAAAAUUUAACCAGAAUAUAGAGGAAGCAUAAGUCCUGUUUCAAGAGACCAGCUCACGGAGCAUGCACAUUUCUCACCAUAGGCAAGCUAUGGACAAUUCAAUCACAUGGGAUGGCCCCACUUAGGGGAAUGCAGUUCUGGGUUUCCUUGCUAUCCCUAUUCUUUUUCAGCUACAAACUCUCUUCUUUUUCAGUCUCUUCAGUUUCCUUGUGCUCCCUUUAGGAGAGGGACAAGGGUAAGAGUACCAGGCAACUCUGUCCUCCUGCAUGGACAGUUGAGACGGGCAGUAAUGGCACAGUCCUUGGUUGGGGAAGAGAAGAGGAGACAGCACAGACACUGAGACCCCCUUGUCUUCCUCAUCUGGGGGAAGGAAGGUACUCAGUGAUUCUGUCAGAAGCUCUUCACAAAGACUAUCUCUGAGGGUUUUUUUUUUUUUUUUUUCACAAGACUAGAUGGAGAAUUAAUGAAGAAGAAAUAGAAAUGAGGCUUAUUUAAGGUACAAAAUUCUUGUAUUUGUAAUAACCUAGAUUUAUAGAUAUAAAACAAGUCUUUUAAAGACUUCCCUAAAAUACUCAAUAUAAAACAGGAGUUACUUAUCCU
rnacentral:lncRNA from 1 species